rnacentral:antisense_RNA from 1 species
GGGAAACCGUCCAGAGCAACCGAGAACAGCAGCGCCACCUCCUGUUAAUUUGCUGCUUACUGAAGAGACAAGAUCAGAAACUUGAAGUUAGAGACAAAAAAAUAAUGGAACAUAGGAAACAAAGCUUGUUUCCUAUGCAACGCCCAGCCUCCUUCUCCAAUUUCCUGUUCACUAGUUUGGGGCAAACUCAGCACCCGCAGAGCCCAAUCCCUGCUGCCCCAACCUAAAGGACAGGACCAAGGCUCCCUGCCCAGGUGGGCCAGAGUUAGUUCUUAUGCUCCCAAACAUGGGACUCUGUGCUCACAGGUAACCCCAAACAUCAGAGCAAUAAAAACCAGGGCAAUUCCA